rnacentral:rRNA from 1 species
GACAACUUCGGUAGAGCAAUAUUAUAACAUUACCUUAAAUACCGCCCGAGUACUACAAGCGCUAGCUUAAAACCCAAAGGACUUGGCGGUACUCCAAACCCACCUAGAGGAGCCUGUUCUAUAACCGAUAAUCCGCGUUCAACCUCACCACUUCUUGCUCUUUCCGCCUAUAUACCGCCGUCGUCAGCUCACCCUAUGAAGGUUUAACAGUAAGCACAAAGACUUUUCCUCAGUACGUCAGGUCGAGGUGUAGCGAAUGAAGUGGGAAGAAAUGGGCUACAUUCUCUCUACAGAGAAAUACGAACAGAAGUAUGAAAAAACUUCUUAAAGGUGGAUUUAGCAGUAAGUAAAAUUUAGAAUAUUAUACUGAAACCGGCUCUGGAGUGCGCACACACCGCCCGGUCACCCAACAACACAACGCCUGUCACCCAAACACGGUUUGUGUCGCACGAAGGGCGCACGGGGGGGGGGGGGGGGGGGGGAGAGAAAAAAGCCA